GCGGGAGUAGCUAAGCCUGGCCAACGGCGCAGGACUUAAGAUUCUGUCUCACAGGAGUCCGGGGGUUCAAAUCCCCUCUCCCGCA
rnacentral:tRNA from 1 species